AGAGUUUGAUCAUGGCUCAGAGUGAACGCUGGCGGCAUGCCUAACACAUGCAAGUCGAACGGCAGCAUGAUCUGUAGCAAUACAGGUUGAUGGCGAGUGGCGGACGGGUGAGGAAUACAUCGGAAUCUGCCCGGUUGUGGGGGAUAACGUAGGGAAACUUACGCUAAUACCGCAUACGAUCGAGAGAUGAAAGCGGGGGACCGUAAGGCCUCGCGCAGUCGGAUGAGCCGAUGUCGGAUUAGCUAGUUGGUGGGGUAAAGGCCUACCAAGGCGACGAUCCGUAGCUGGUCUGAGAGGACGAUCAGCCACACUGGGACUGAGACACGGCCCAGACUCCUACGGGAGGCAGCAGUGGGGAAUAUUGGACAAUGGGGGCAACCCUGAUCCAGCAAUGCCGCGUGUGUGAAGAAGGCCUUCGGGUUGUAAAGCACUUUUAUCCGGAACGAAACGUGUCGGGUUAACAACCCGGCAAACUGACGGUACCGGAGGAAUAAGCACCGGCUAACUUCGUGCCAGCAGCCGCGGUAAUAC
rnacentral:rRNA from 1 species